GUCAAAGAAGACAAUCAUGAAAGAUUAUAAAUGAUAUGAUUCCAUCUUAAUGCAGUGUUCAAAUGGGCAAUCUCUCUGUAGCCCUGGCUGUCUCGCAACUCUGUAGACUAGACUGGCCUUAACUAUAAGACCCAUCUACCUCUGCCUCAAAGUGCUGGGAUUAAAAGUGUGCACCACCAGGCCUGGCCUAAUUGUAUACUUAAGUGGAUGAAUUGUAUGGUAUGUAAAUUGUAUCACAAUGAAAUGUGUUUUUAAAGAUUUGUAAUUGGAGACAUUGGCUUCAAUGUGUUGUGUUUUUCCAGCAUUUGCUGAUGGCCUACUUGCUGCAGUUAUCAAGAACACUAAAAAUCCAAGGCUAUCCCUGGUCUCUUAACUCACAACUAAAUGAAUUCAAACACAUACAUAGAGAUCUCAGAAUCACCAGAAUUGGAAAGGACACCGCUUGCAGGGACAGAAUGUGAUCAAAUUGGAUGUUCAGAAUGGAACCCAAUGUGACUUUGAAAUACCAGACCCUCAAAUUUGACACAUGAGCAAGUUCAAGCUGUCCUGCCAGAAAAGGAGACCAGGUGAAUGAGAUCUGAGUCAGCUCCUUUGUCCCAGGGAGGCUGCAGAUUGGCUAGACUAAUGUGUGACUGACCACUGAUGCAUGAAAGAGUCUCACAGAAGAACUUCUCUCAGAAGAUUCUAAGUUGCUGACUCUCAGAUAUAUAUUGUGAUCCUGUGCCAUGAUGGUGUCUCAGUUGGGCUGCAGAGACGAUGGCCACUGUUAACUCUGUCACCUGCUGACAUGGGCAUCAUGGUUUAUGUAAGUGCACUCUACAAUGCUUACAUAAUGACGAACUCACCCAAUGACACAUUUGUGAAUGCAGACAUCUCAUUAAGCAACACAUGACUGCAAGCUGACAUUGUAUGUUGUUAUGCAGGGAAAUUAGACUGUUUGAAUGAUUAAGACAAUCCAGUAAAGUGUUGUUUUGUCUGUGUGUGUGUGUGUGUGUGUGUGUGUGUGUGUGUGUGUGUGUGUAUGUGUGUGUGUGUGUGUGUGUCAGAGCUGAGGACUGAACACAGGGCUUGCACUUGCUAGGCAAGUGCUCUACCACUGAGCUAAA
rnacentral:lncRNA from 1 species